rnacentral:lncRNA from 1 species
UUGGGAUUUUCUUGAGGCGUAGAAGCAUGCGAUUCUAUCAGGGGUUUGUGUUAAGCGAGUAAAAGAUGAUAGCGGUCAUGAACCAUGCGGAGAGGGUGCCUUUGCUAGGAAGAGAGCUAUCAAAUUUCAUCUGUACUACUUUAUGUUGGGAUUUACUUUUCCUAUGCUACGUCUUUUCCAGAAGGUGAUAUGCUCCAUGAUAUACGCGCCUACUUAAUGCUCCCUAAAUGCAGUUCGUGCAAUGAUGGGAUUCUCGAACUUGAGCAAGUUCUUCGAUCUUGGCUUGACCAUAAAUGAGUUUUGGUACUUUUUUUAGAUUGGCCACAAGGAAGGUGUGGGACGGCUUAGAUCUCGCCAUAGACUGCUCGAUGCUUUUAGCAAAAGUGAUCAUAAGUGGGCGAAAGAUACCUUGGAGGUGAG